ensembl:lncRNA
AGAUAGCAGAGAAGGAUUUUGACAUUGCAUAUAACAGUUCCAUUUUAAGUAAUCCUGUUCAUAGCAAUCAUUUAUUUUAAUAUACCCGUUUCUCGCAGUUAUUUAUCCAGGGAAACUGUAGUGGGUUUGGGGUGGGAAAUCUCUGUAACCUGGUUCCCUGUUAAACCCUAACACACAAUCGGAGAGAUCACUCUACAUUCUACCAAACAUCUUAGAUCUGGAGCACGCACGCACACACACACACACACACACACACAACUGACCUAUGAUCGGUUCUGUGUUGUGAAGGCCCUUCACUUUCAGGUAUUUGGACAGGUGGCUGGGGCCGACAACCCUCUUUGCUGUGAGUGACACACCAGACAAUCAAAUCAACACCAGGUAUUAUUAGAGUGACACAUCAUUCAGCCUAUAAACACCAAGUAUUCCUCAGAAAAACACAGUCAAUCAACACAUCCAUUGUCACAAGAAGCCUUCUCUCACCUGCGGGUGUGUCCGGCAGCAGAUACACCUGUGGAACACUGAGCCAGCUUGCUGGGGCCUGCUCGAAGUGUGUGUGUUCACUGUGCUGAUGUGUGUGUUCACUGUGCUGAUGUGUGUGUUCACUGUGAUGAUGUGUGUGUUCUUGGUCUUCGUCCAGUUCCCCCUCAGAGUAGUCCGCCUGUCUGCCUCCCUCAGAGUAGUCCGCCUGUCUGCCUCCCUCGGAGUAGUCCGCCUGUCUGCCUCCCUCGGAGUAGUCCGCCUGUCUGCCUCCCUCGGAGUAGUCCGCCUGUCUGCCUCCCUCGGAGUAGUCCGCCUGUCUGCCUCCCUCGGGGUAGUCCGCCUGUCUGCCUCCCUCGAGUUGUCGCCUGUCUGCCUCCCUCGGAGUAGUCCGCCUGUCUGCCCUCCCUCGGAGUAGUCCGCCUGUCUGCCUCCCUCAGUAGUCCGCCUGUCUGCCUCCCUCGGAGUAGUCGCCUGUCUGCCUCCCUCGAGUAGUCCGCCUGUCUGCCUCCCUCGGAGUAGUCCCCUGUCUGCCUCCCUCGGAGUAGUCCGCCUGUCUGCCUCCCUCGGAGUAGUCGCCUGUCUGCCUCCCUCGGAGUAGUCCGCCUGUCUGCCUCCUCGGAGUAGUCCGCCUGCUGCCUCCCUCGGAGUAGUCCGCCCGUCUGCCUCCCUCGGAGUAGUAGUAGUCCGCCCUCUGCCUCCCUCGGAGUAGUCCGCCCGUCUGCCUCCCUCGGAGAAGUCCGCCCGUCUGCCUCCCUGGAGAAGUCCGCCCGUCUGCCUCCCUCGGAGAAGUCCGGUCGCCUGCCUCCCUCGGAGUAGUCCGGCCGCCUGCCUCCCUCGGAGUAGUCCGCCCGCCUGCCUCCCUCGGGUAGUCCGCCCGCCUGCCUCCUCGGAGUAGUCCGCCGCCUGCCUCCCUCGGAGUAGUCCGCCCGCCUGCCUCCCUCGGAGUAGUCCGCCCGUCUGCCUCCCUCGAGUAGUCCGCCCGUCUGCCUCCCUCGGAGUAGUCCGCCCGUCUGCCUCUCUCCGAGCAGUCCGCCCGUCUGUCUCCUCUCGAGUAGUCCGCCCGUCUGUCUCUCUCUGAGUAGUCUGCCCGUCUGUCUCUCUCUGAGUAGUCUGCCCGUCUGUCUCUCUCCGGUAUUUAGAUGAGUCUGUCGGUUUCUCUCAGUGAUUGCAGUCUGUCGGUCUGUCGCUGAGUAUUCAUCUUUCUGUCUCUGCCCGAGUAUUCCAGAAGAGUGUGUCUGUCUGGUAUUUCUAGAAGCGUCUGUGUCUCUCUGCAUUCUGGGCUCUUCCUCUCCCCCCCACUCUGGACUCAGAGAAGUCUCCCAGUCCUUCAAAUGUGUUGAGCUCCUCAGAGCUGAGAGAGGUGCAGGAACAGGGACAGAGACAGGGAGGGUGUGUUGUUCUCUCUGUGGACAACGAGGGGGUGUGGGUGGUAUGGAGGAAGAGAGGGAGGGUGGGUAGAUGGACAACUGUGGAAAGAGAGGUAGAAAAAGGGUUUGAGGGAGAGAGGAGGGGGGGAUUGAGGAAGAGAGGGGAUGGGUGAGGUGUAGAGAGUGGGGAGAGGGAUGGAAAUAGGGGUGGCUGACCUGGAGGAACGGGAAGGGGAAGGUACUUGUAGGGUUCCUGUCUUCUCCCAAACCCUGGGGGGGGGGCAGGCGAGAGAGAGAGAAGGGUGGAGAGAAAGAGUAACGUUAUAACAUGGCACUCAGGUAAAGAACCACACCCCUAUGGACAGAUAGAGAUAUUUAUGUGGCUCACUUGAGAUCUGAACCAGGAGCGUCUGGUCAUUCUCCUCCUCUGAUAGACUGACAGGGAGAGGACACACUCCCUCGGUCUCACGUGACUCUGCCCCACACAUACCUGAGGGAGAUGAAACGAUGAGUGGAGACACAGCAGAUGCUUUAACUUUGGUUAAGAACAGUUUCAGCUAAAAUACAGCUUCAGUAGAACAGUUUCAGCCAAAGAACAGUUUCAGCUAAAUAAAAGUGUCACGACUCUCCUGUGAGGAUCCAAAAAUCAGUUGGAUCAAUGUCCACUAGACCGCUCUCACCCGCAGAGGGGAGUAGGGAUUGAUGUAGGGGUUUAUGACACCUCGUGUCCACCACGCCAAUCGUAAAUUGUAUUCAGCAGGGAACUCUUUUUGGUGAUUGGAAUGUUUUUGUUACAGAGACAUUUUGCGGCCCAAAAACUCUAACGUCCAAAAGUGAACACUGGGACAAUAUUUCUAAACAAGAGAUGGUCUAUGGAACAUUAAUGUCUAUUUUGUGACAAUUAUAUAACUAAAAUAUUGUAACUUGAAGAGAUUUCACACUGUGUAUGUCAAGUUUACAUCCUUUACAUUGUGUAGGAAAUAUCAAGGAUGAAGAUAAUAUUUUUGUUAAGACAGGAAUGUGAUUUUAGUUUUCUAACGAGAUCUUAGUUUUGAUGAUAUGUUGCCCUUUAAGUAGCCACGCCCUGAAUGAGGUCAGAGAGCUUGUCAGCGUGAUGGAACCGCCCUUUUCGACCAGAGUGCUUAAAAGGACUGACUAAGAAUUAACAUACCAUACCAGAAGAUGUGAAACCGUUGUCCACACGUUGAAAUGGUUAGAAACAAACUCUAAACCUCAACACUUGAUGAGGAAACGCGGGGCGUUAGCUACAUGUGAGAAAUGGUUGAAACAACACAAAGUGAAGAAAAUAAACUCAGCAGACCACAUCCGAAAAUGAGCAGGCUGCAGCUGUCCGUGUAAAAGUGGUUCAAACUGACUAUCCACAGGAGCUAAGAACAAGUUCUGAGCUCAUUGGAGACCGGACAACUAAGAAGGACAUUGUGACCUCUGGUGGACAAUCAGAGCAUGUAGAAGCGGAAAGCCCAUCAAAACCCCAUUUCAAGAAGUUUUGGUUUCAACAGAGAUAGAUGACGAACGACGGCAUUCAACGCGUAAAUACAUUCAUUGCUUCUAAUUCCAAAACGGGCGGUGGUUCGUGUGCAAGGUAUAUGAUUAACGUGAAGACAGUCCUCGUAUGUAUCCAUGAUAAAUGUCCCAUUUUCCCUCGCUCUCUAUUUUCCCCAACUCCUUUCUCCAUCUCUGUGAAAUAGGCAGUCAUAUGUGGUCCGUCCACUAGGGACUUUAGUCUCAUGUACGUGUGUAUGUGUAAUCUGUGUUAUUAUAUAUUUAGUUAGUAAAGAAAUAAUUCAAUUAAUUUGUGGAGUACUGAAUGACGAGCAAAGGUUUGGGUUCUUGAAGAACCAAAAUCAGGUAACAAUUAAACAUGGUUUGUUUUAAUUAACCCCUUUUUACAGUCCUGUUCCAUCGCUGCAACUCCCGUACGGACUCGGGAGAUGCGAAGUUUGAGAUCCGUACCUCACGACCCUGCCAAGCCGCACUGCUUCUUGACACAACGACCACUUAACCCGGAAGCCAUCCGCACCAAUGUGUCAGAUGAAACACCGUACACCUGGCGACCGUGUCAGCGUACAUUGUGCCUGGCCCGCUACAGGAGCCGCUAGUCCGCGAUGGGACUGGAACAUCCCUGCUGGCCAAAUCCACCCCUAACCCGGACGACGCUGGGCCAAAUGUUAUUUGUGUAGACUUUUAGUGAAAUGCUUACUUACAAGCCCUUGACCAACAGUGCAGUUCAAGAAGAGUUAAGAAAAUAUUUAACAAGUAGAAAAAAAAGUAACACAAUAAGAAUAACAAUAUUGAGGUGAUAUACAGGGGGCACUGGUACAGAGUCAGUGUGCGGGGGUACAGGUUAGGUAAUUUUUACAUGUAGGUGGGGGUGAAGAGACUUGCAUAGAUAAUAAACAGCAAGUAGCAGUAGUGUACAAAAAGGAGGUGGGGGGGUCAAUGUAAAUUGUCUGAUGGCAAUUUUAUUAAUUGUUCAGCAGUCUUAUGGCUUGGGUGUAGAAGGAGCCUCUUGGUCCUAGACUUGGCGCUCUGGUUACGCUUUUUGUGCAGUAGCAGAGAAAACAGUCUACAACUUGGGUGACUGGAGUCUCACAAUUUUAUGGGCUUUCCUCUGACACCGCCUAUUAUAUAGGUCCUGGAUGGCAGGAAGCUUGGCCCCAGUGAUAUACUGGGCUGUCCGCACUACCCUCUGUAGUACCCUACGGUCAGAUGCCGAGCAGUUGCCAUACCAGGCGGUGAUGCAACCGGUCAGGAUGCUCUCGAUGGUGCAGCUCUAGAACCUUUUGAGGAUCUUGAGACCCAUGCCAAAUCUUUUCAGUCUCACGAGGGGGAAAAGGUUUUGUCGUGCCCUCUUCACUACUGUCUUGGUAUGUUUGGACCAUGACAGUUCGUUGGUGAUGUGGACACCCACUCAACUACAGCCCUGUCAAUGUUAAUGGGGGCCUGUUCGGCCCGCCUUUUCCUGUAGUCCACGAGCAGCUCCUUAGUCUUGCUCACAUUGAGGGAGAGGUUGUUGUCCUGGCACCACACUGCCCAGUUCUAUGAUCUUCUCCCUAUAGGCCGUCUCAUUGUUGUCGGUGAUCAGGCCUACCACUAUCGUGUCAUGAGCAAACUUUAUGAUGGUGUUCGAGUCAUGUUUGGCAACACAUUUGUGGGUGAACAAGGAAUACAGGAGGGGAGUAAGUACACACCCCUGAGGGGCUCUAGUAUUAAGGAUCAGCGUGGCAGACGUGUUGUUGCCUACUCUUACCACCUGGGGACGGCCCGUCAGGAAGUCCAGGAUCCAGAAGGAGGUGUUUAGUCCCAGAGUCCUUAGCUUAGUGAUGAGCUUUGUGGGCACAAUGGUGUUGAACGCUGAGCUGUAGUCAAUGAACAGCAUUCUCACAUAGGUGUUCCUUUUGUCCAGGUGAGAAAGGGCAGUGUGGAGUGCGAUUGAGAUUGCAUCAUCUGUGGAUCUGUUGGGGCGGUAUUUGAAUUGGAAUGGGUCUUGGGUGUCCGGGAGGAUGCUGUUGAUGUGAGCCAUGACCAGCCUUUCAAUGCACUUGAUGGCUACUGACGUGAGUGCCAAGGGGCGGUAAUCAUUUAGGCAGGUUACCUUCGCGUCCUUGGGCACGGGGACUAUGGUGGUCUGCUUGAAACAUGUAGAUAUUACAGACUCGGCCAGGGAGAUGUUGAAAAUGUCAGUGAAGACACUUGCCAGUUGGUCCGGGCAUGCUUUGAGUACACG